UUGCUUCAGCAGCACACAGACUAAAAUUGGAACAAUAAACAGAAAGAUUAGCAUGCUCCCCUGUGCAAAAAUGCUAUGCAAAUUUGUGAAAAAUUCUAUCUUACU